AAGACUAUACUUCACUACAGAAAUGAUCCUGUGAAGUACGGUCUUCAUUUACAUUUUUUGGAAAUCGACCCACGAUGACGAAGUAUUUUCGUUUUAUCUGACAGCGUGAGGUUAAGAAGUUCAUUUCUAAUUUUUUGUCUUGUGGCAUAUUAGAAAUGAUGUUUAUUCGAAAAUCAUUCGCUUUUUAACGGAUAAAACGACUUCUGAAUGGU
rnacentral:snoRNA from 1 species